rnacentral:tRNA from 1 species
GCCCCGCUAGGCAAAUUGGAAAAGCCGUCUGACUUAGGGCCAGGUGCUUGGGGGUUCGACUCCCUCGCGGGGCACCA